AACUGAUACUACCUGCGGGAACCUGCGGAGGGAUCAUUACCGAGUGCGGGCCCUCGCGGCCCAACCUCCCACCCUUGUCUCUAUACACCUGUUGCUUUGGCGGGCCCACCGGGGCCACCUGGUCGCCGGGGGACGUCGUCUCCGGGCCCGCGCCCGCCGAAGCGCUCUGUGAACCCUGAUGAAGAUGGGCUGUCUGAGUACUAUGAAAAUUGUCAAAACUUUCAACAACGGAUCUCUAGA
rnacentral:misc_RNA from 1 species